CUCCGUCCUUAGAGAGGCCAGUGCUCAGCAUCUAGCAGGGCUGCGAGGCAGGCCUCCGCCGAUCCUGGAGUUGUAAUUCCCCACUGCUGGCUGCUGCAGUUUUAUUACGGCCUUCUUUUUUCUGAGAUUGACAGACAUAAACCUCCAGUGUGGAGCCUGCGACAGCACCCUUAAAGGCUUCUCUGUGUGGACACGUAACCUUAGGACAAAGUGGGCGCAGCUCCAGGAAAGGCACAGCAGCCUGCUACAGGGAAGGACUGUGCUGGGGCAGACCUCAGGGUUUCUUCUUCUGGCUGGCUCCCUGGGAAGCCUCCCAGGGACAAUGCUUUCUUCCUCUAAGUAGAAUUUUUUGUGGGGGGCCUUCGGGAGAUUGGGAAUACUGCGAGAGGAGACCUGUGGUGGCUGUCCAGGGAACUCCACAUGCAACCAGAGGAACAAGAUGUCCUUCCUUGAGUGAAACCAGAAGGUGUUUUCCCGUCUCUGUCGAAAGAAGUCAUGUGCUGGUCUGGAGAGAACUGAAUUCAGAACCCAAAGCACCUCUGAUUAUCCACUGCUUAGGCAGAACACAGGCAGAAGAUAAAGUGUUCCUGUUAAUGUGCUUCCGCUCUCCCCUAAAGGAGUGAUUUCCAGGAGUGGAGAGGAAGACCAUGUCUACAGAAAUCUUGGCAACCUCUUAUCCAGGAAGACUAUGGAGAUUUCAUGAUCUUGCUGUUGUUUGCAACAAGGUAAAAGGGGGAAGCAACCCAAAUGUCCAUCAGUGGACGCAUGGAUAAACAAAAUGUGCUACGUGGGUAAAAUGAACUAUUAUUCAGCCUGAAAAAGAAAGGAAAUUCUGAUACAUGCUACAAUGUGGAUGAACCUUGAAGAUAUGAUGCUCACUGAAAUAAGCCAGUCACAAAAGGACAAAUAUUGUAGGAUUCCACUUAUAUGGGUACCUCGAGUAGUCAGAUUCACAGAGACAGAAAGUAGAAUGGUGGUUGCCAGUAGAAUGGUGGGGGCUGAAGGGAGGGGAGAGUGGGGAUUUAGUGUCUAACGAGUGGAGUUUCAGUUGGGGAAAAUGAAAAGUUCUGUAGAUGGAUGGUGAUGAUGAUUACAAUAUGAAUGUACUUAAUGCCAAGAACUGUAUAUGUACAAAGGGGUCAAAUGAUAAAUUUUAUAUUAUGCAUAUUUUACCACACUAAACAUACUUUUUAAAAACCCAUAAAAGAUACUGAACUAAUGAUAUGCAUGCUGAAGUGUUUGAGUGUGAAAUGUACUGAUGUCUACAACUUUAUUUGAAAUGUAUCAAAAAAUGAAGAUGAG
rnacentral:lncRNA from 1 species